rnacentral:rRNA from 1 species
UGAUUCCUGUACUAUGAUAUGACAGAACUGUGGGGACACGUGCAGAGAACGGAAGCCGGGAAUGGGAUCCCGGUGCAAGCGAGGUACCAGCCGCAUUGGAAAAACCGUGCGGCAAUGGGAAGACGUGAUGCGGAGUGAAGUUUGGUAAUGAAGUCCGUGAGCUGUGCGUCAAGAAAAGCCGCUAUUGUUCAUACCAUACCCGUACCGUAAACCGACACAGGUGGAUGAGGAGAGAAUCCUAAGGCCGGCGGAAGAAGCAUUGUCAAGGAACUCGGCAAAAUGACCCCGUAACUUCGGGAGAAGGGGUGCCUGCGAGAGCAGGCCGCAGAGAAUAGGCUCAAGCAACUGUUUAGCAAAAACACAGGUCUAUGCGAAACCGAAAGGUGAGGUAUAUGGGCUGACGCCUGCCCGGUGCUGGAAGGUUAAGAGGAGAGGUUAGCGCAAGCGAAGCUUUGAAUUUAAGCCCCAGUAAACGGCGGCCGUAACAAUAACGGUCCUAAGGUAGCGAAAUUCCUUGUCGGGUAAGUUCCGACCCGCACGAAAGGCGUAAUGAUUUGAGCGCUGUCUCGACAAUGCAUCCGGUGAAAUUGAAGUACCAGUGAAGAUGCUGGUUACCUGCGCCAGGACGGAAAGACCCCAUGGAGCUUUACUCCAGUUUGGUACUGGGAUCCGGUACUGCAUGUACAGGAUAGGUGGGAGGCUGAGAAUCGGUAACGCCAGUUGCCGAGGAGCCGCUGUUGGGAUACCACCCUUGCAGUAUUGGGUUUCUAACCAGCCGCCGUGACCCGGCGGUGGGACAAUGCCAGACGGGGAGUUUGACUGGGGCGGUCGCCUCCGAAAGGGUAUCGGAGGCGCCCAAAGGUUCCCUCAGGAUGGACGGAAACCAUCCAAAGAGUGCAAAGGCAGAAGGGAGCUUGACUGCGACACCGACGGGUGGAGCAGGUACGAAAGUAGGGCUUAGUGAUCCGGUGGUAUUAAGUGGGAAUGCCAUCGCUCAACGGAUAAAAGCUACCCUGGGAUAACAGGCUUAUCACUCCCAAGAGUUCACAUCGACGGAGUGGUUUGGCACCUCGAUGUCGGCUCAUCGCAUCCUGGGGCUGUAGUAGGUCCCAAGGGUUGGGCUGUUCGCCCAUUAAAGCGGUACGCGAGCUGGGUCCAGAACGUCGUGAGACAGUUCGGUCCCUAUCCGGCGUGGGCGUAGGAUAUCUGAGAGGAGCUGUCCUUAGUACGAGAGGACCGGGAUGGACGGGCCGCUGGUGCACCGGUUAGACUGCCAAGUCUAUAGCCGGGUAGCCAAGCCCGGAAGGGAUAAACGCUGAAGGCAUCUAAGCGUGAAGCCCCCCUCAAGAUGAGAUAUCCCAUCCGAAAGGAGUAAACCCCCUUGAAGACGACGAGGUCGAUAGGGCAGAGGUGGAAGUGUGGUAACACAUGGAGCUGACUGCUACUAAUAGGGUGAGGGCUUGACC